UACGGGGGGAGCAAGCGUUGUUCGGAUUUACUGGGCGUAAAGGGCGCGUAGGCGGUCAGCACAAGUCAGUUGUGAAAUCUCCGGGCUUAACUCGGAAAGGUCAACUGAUACUGUGCGACUAGAGUGCGGAAGGGGCAACUGGAAUUCUUGGUGUAGCGGUGAAAUGCGUAGAGAUCGGAAAGAACACCAACGGCGAAAGCACUCUGCUGGGCCGACACUGACACUGAGAGACGAAAGCGUGGGGAGCGAACAGG
rnacentral:rRNA from 1 species